GAUGAACGCUAGCGGCAGGCUUAAUACAUGCAAGUCGAGGGGUAGCAAGAUUGUAACAAUACAAUUGUUGACGACCGGCAAACGGGUGCGGAACACGUACACAACCUUCCUACAAGUGGGGAAUAGCCCAGAGACAGUUGGAUUAAUACCCCGCAACAUAGCGAUGUGGCAUCACAUUGCUAUUAUAGCUUCGGCGCUUGUUGAUGGGUGUGCGGCUGAUUAGAUAGUUGGCGGGGUAACGGCCCACCAAGUCUACGAUCAGUAGCUGAUGUGGGAGCAUGAUCAGCCACACGGGCACUGAGACACGGGCCCGACUCCUACGGGAGGCAGCAGUAAGGAAUAUUGGACAAUGGACGCAAGUCUGAUCCAGCCAUGCCGCGUGAAGGAUUAAGGUCCUCUGGAUUGUAAACUUCUUUUAUAAGGGACGAAAAAAGGUCUUUCUAGAUCGUCUGACGGUACCUUAUGAAUAAGCACCGGCUAACUCCGUGCCAGCAGCCGCCGUAAAAC
rnacentral:rRNA from 1 species